UUAAGGUAAAAUGCGCAGACCCAAAUCAAAUGCGCGUGUUUUCUAUUCCCACCCCCAAUGCUAUUUUAUUUCUUUACUUAAAACAGAUUUUUAUAUUUAAAAAAAAACAAUUUGAUUAAAGGUUUUAAAAAAGGAAAAAAAAGGUUCCUUCAUUCUCUGUUAGGGCUUCACUCGCAUGUCCCAAAGGCUGCCGCAGCACCAAUGCCACUUUCGGUGGCCAACGAUACCAAGAAAUAGGUCUUUCGACCCCGAUCCAAGGCUGUUUUCUGGUUGUGGAGUCGAGGAAGAGUGCAUGAUCGUAGGGCGUGGACGUGCGAGCUAGGGGUCGUGUGUGGGUGUGCUGACGUGCGUGGGGCGCCGAACGUGGGGGGUUGCGGUGCAAGGGAAAGAAGGGAACCUAGGUUUUCUGAAUUUGGGCCUUCUGUCACUGGGCUAUUUUAACAUAAUUGGGCUGGGUUUUUCUUUUUGGGUUUAUUAUUUGUAAAUGAACUUUUAAUUCUGUUCUAAUUUAUUUGUUUGAUUUUGGUCUCUAUUUGGCCCGGGCAAAAUUCGGGUCUUACACAUAUUAACUGAUUAAAAAUAGCAAUUACAUUUAUUAAA